rnacentral:lncRNA from 1 species
GCUGCUUAUUCUGGGAGGGACACUUUACCUGCUCUGGAAUUAGCAACAGUGAUGUUGGAGUGGCUCAAUAGAUAGUUACUGACUGACUGAUGGAUGGUGUCUUAGGAUGAGAUUAGUAGGACUGACUGCCCUUGGGUGGGUCUCAGAUGAUUUUUUUAGUUGAUAGAAUGGACCUUUAUCUCAGAAGUGACCUCCAGAGUUUAAGUCAUUUGCAAGUGACCUGAAAAGCCCGUGAUAUGUAGCAACAUUUAAACCGGCUGAGGCUAGGAAUUGGUGUGCUUUACAGCUGGUGGGCAGGAGCAAAUCUCUGAGCUAGUGAGCGAGCCUAGUCAACUGCCGGCACCUCCAUCUCCUAGGGACCAAACCAUUCUCUCUAUGUUGCCUCAUUUGCCUAUUAUGGCAAGCCUUGUGCUAGAUGAUCCCCACUCUCUGCCUUUUUAAAGUAUUGGAAUAAAAGAUAACACACACAAUAAUACUUCCUUAUUAUUUUGGAACAUGUUUUGAAAAUGGAAACUGCUAUUGGAACUAUUUUACAGAGAGGAAACUGAAAUCCAGGGAAGAUAAUAUGUUACAGUAACUGUCCUUUCUCUUCCGUUUUCGGCGAAGAUGCAAGCCUGGCUAGAAGGAUAAGCUGCAGAAACAAUGAAGCAGGAGACCCCUACUAUCAUCUUCUGAAGGUACUGACUGGUUUGCUUGCUGGUCUGCUUUCUGGCUGUCCCACUAGGAUAUGAGCUCUCGGGAGCGGCACUGUCGUGAUUCUGAGGCGGAGGUUACCAAACAGGCCUUUACCAGGGAGCCCUUGGCGUCAACGCUGCGGAAGGGGAGGAGACACGCAGGACUGGGCAGAGGGAGACCUUGGACCUCAUGCAAUCACGACAGGCAGCUCCGCACACCCGACAGGAAGUUCUGAAGAUGGGUGACCCUUCAGAACUAACCAGAUUUGGACUGGAGGCCCAGGCCUUUGGAUCUCUGGGCUAUUGAUAAUUGGAUGUGCGCUGUCCCAGGAAGGAGGCGUGAUGUUGGGCAAGACCCACUCAGAGUGACGGCUGGACUGAGUGCUGGCAGCACCCCAGACUCCCAAAGGGGAGCUCGGUACAUCGUCCGUGAUGGGUGCCAUCAGCCUUUUCACUCACGGCCACAGCCCAGCACAGGGGACAGUACGGUGCUUAGUCGUCUGUGUUUGGGUGGCUCUUGUUCUCUGAUCCCACUCCUACUAGGUUCCCAUUACCAGCCUUAAAGUCACUUUGCUCUGAUUACGUGAUUGUCUCCUUGAAUGUGAUCUUCCCUUGAAUGUGAUCCUGCUCCAGAACUUGUGGGAUCAGGAGCAGACCUCCCUCCGCCUUCUUUGGACACAUCUCAGCAUUCCCUGCCUGGCAGCCCACGUAGAACAACCCUUCUCCACUCGCGACAGUGAGGAGAGGCCGUCGACACCCAGAUCCUUGUGUUGCCAGAAGAUGUCGUCCUCGAUCUAAGGGCAAAAUGAAUCAGAGCAUUUCGAUAAAAAGCAAAGUGGCUGAUUUGGGAUCUGCUCUCAUUAACACCUCCUCGCCCGUGGUGUUGAAUGAUAAUACUGUGUCGUGAUAAUAUGAUGAUGAUGAUCACAGAAUGUUCACAGACUGACUGAUAUGUUCACAGGCUGGGCAGUCACUUGUGACAUUUGCAAUACUCAAGGAAAAGCAGCGAGAGGAAGCCUUCCUUUAUGGGAACGUCACUAUUGAGGUUUUUUGGGGGUGGAGGAUAUUAAAGAUGUCAAAGAACUAGAGAAACAGGCCUUGCUUUCAAGGAGUGUGCAAUCUAAUCAAGGAGACCUCUUUCUUCUUUUUCUAUGUAAUAAUAGCUAUUUUUCAUAGGGCCUGCUCUGUGCACUUUACAUAUAUUAAUUCAGGUAAUCCUCACAACAACCCCAGGUUUGGGGACCAUUAUUGCCCCCGUUUUGCAGAGGAGGAGACUGAGGCACAAAGAGGUUAAGUGACUUGCUCAAGGUCACACUUCCGGUAUAUGGCAAAUCCAGGACUGGAAUCCUGGCAGUCUGACCCGGAGUAUGUGUACUGGCCACUAGCUGACACUACUUCUCUUUUAAAUCAUUCUAGACUCUAGAACAUCACUAAAGGAAUUCUUACGGAUUCAAGAGUGUCUUUUUAACCUUUAAAAUUUAUAGCAAGGGGCCAGCC